CACAGGCUGGGUGGAUCAAGCAGUGGACAUUUGUUUCUCACAGCUGAGAAGAAAGUCCAAGACCAAGGCCUUGACAGUUUCAGUCCACUGAGAAUCCCCUUGCCUGGCUGCAGAGGCAGGCUUCUUGCAAUAUCUAUCUAGUCUUCUUUUCUUCCCACAGGACACUGGAAGCCUUGCAGAGGACCACCUCCUGAUUCCUCCUCAUCAGUAUUAGGAGGUUUGACGUGGCUCAACAUGAAAUUCAUAGCUGCUUCUCUUUUCCUUUCAAAAUCUUUGCAGCACACGUGGCUGGCAGCCACACGGUGCGAAGCACAGUUUAAGAUGAACAUGUUCUAGAAACGCUUUGGCUAAGCAUCUCCUCUCCUAUCGUCCCACAAUAACUAGAUGAUACAGGAGGCUGUCAUGGAAAGACUCAAUACUGGGAAAUUAUUACCUGGGAAAUGCAGAAGAAACCACUUUAAUCUACCCUGAAACGACAUGAAAUGGAUCUUCAUUACUGGUCAAAGCUGUUCUUCAUUUCCUCCCACUAAACCACUGUCUAGGGAAGCAAGCCACUUGCUGAGGAUUUUCCACCUCUGUCUCAAGAGAGGUCUUGCCUUUUGCAGUAGUGGCUUCCCCUGAACGGCGGUGCCUUCCCCUGAACGGCGGUGCCUUCCCCUGAACGGCGGUGCCUUGGCAACCACAGCUGGAGAUUUGCUCAAAUGUCUUUCCCUGGCAGGCAGGUAAAUGCCAUCCAUAUCCCAUCAUAGACAGGAGCUUUCCUUGAGUCACAGUUGCCGGGCUGUAUCAGCAGGAAAGUUACUCAGAAGCUGAAACAAAGGAUGCACAAAAGUGCCCAUUUUGAGCCAGGGCUACAUCAGGCUCUAGUUUCAGCUGAUAAGGAGCAUAAAGGAGCAGCCGUGCUGUGACUCCGUUUCCUAAAGCAUCGGUCUCACAGGUAAUGCAAUGACCUGCUGGUAAAGGGCUUCCUCAAAUGUCUCUUUGCUGUGGUCAAGGCAAGUUUAUAUCAGGUCGGUGCCCCCUGGACAUUUGUUGCAAAGGGAGUCCUUUUGGAAACUCUUAGAAGGCAGGGUGACCACGUGUGAGGGCAGAGAAGACUUCAGAGCACAGCUUCCAGAUUUGAUCCCAGUGUGUGACCUGGAACAAAUUAUUGUCUCUCUGCCUCAAGUUUUAUGGUGCAUCAAAUGGGGAGAUCAGCACUUGCCGUGUAGGACUGUCCUCAACAUUAGCAUUACAUGCCAGAACUGUGUGCUUUUGACAGAGUCACCAAUCUCUUGUUUCCACCUCUAUGGUCAGUGUUUGGUUUCUCUUAUUGUCAUUCAAACU
rnacentral:lncRNA from 1 species